GUUUCCAACAUUCCUGAGUAUUUGUUCUCAGAGAGGGAGAGAGAUCUCUCUUUUACCUCUCCAGGGAGGUCACGGACAAGGACACAAUAAAUUUUCAUGGCAAAAUUAAUUGUAUGCCAAAGUAGUAAGAGUACUAUACCAAGAAAACUUUUUUGGGGGGUAAGCACCACUGAGUAAACUUGAGUAGGGUCUGAAUAAAGGAUUGUAAUGAAAGGGAGUUAGUAGAGGAUGUUGAAGAGCUAAGAGACUGAAGACCAACAAACAUUUCAGUCUUCAAAAAAAGGAUGAUGCAGGAAACUGCACAGUAAUCAAACUGAUCUGUUUACCAGAAGAUACUAGAACAGAUUCAGUCUCUAAUCAUUUGGAAAACAGGUCAGUGAUUAGUAGAUGCCUGUGAGGAUUUGUCAGGAAUAAAUCUUGAGUUACUUGCUUAGUGGGUUGUGGGGAAGCUGUGAUUUGUGCAAAUGCAAUGUUUUGUUUAGUCAAUUGGCUUAAUAUGGGCAAGGUGAUAGUAUAUCUGCGUGGUGGGAGAACUGUACUCAAGGUGUACUUAUCAAUAAAAUUUUAUCAGUCUGGACUGAGAACAGGAGUACUGCAGCACUCUGUCUUGGGCCUGGUGUUCUUCAAUAUGACUUGGCUAAAGGGGUGUUUGAACUCCUUAACAAGUUUGUAGAUGACACAACACUGGGAGGGAUAGCUAAUAUCUUAGAAGGAAAAAAAUACAGUUCAAAACUGAAAAUUAACAAAAUAAAUUUCCACAAAGGCAAGUGCUAAGUUUUGUAUUUAGGAAAAAAGAUUUAAAGGUAUAAAAUGAGGGGUACCUGGCUUGACAGUAGUAUAUGCGAAAAGACUCUUGGAACUGCAGACAAUCAUAAUCUGAACAAAAAUCAGCAACAUGACGUAGCUGUAAAAAAGCUUAUGCAAUUUUAGGUGCAUUAAUAGAAAUAAUCAGAGUCAUGAGAAGUGAUUGUUCUACUGUAUUUUGGUUAAUCAGACUUCAUCUAGAAUUCCAUGUCUAGUUCUAAGCAAAAAGAAAAAAUAUACAUGCCCUGGAACAAGCUCGAUGAAGGAUGACAAAAAUGAUCCAUCGAUGGUCAAAAAGAAAAAGAAGAGGGACUCAGGCCUGCCCUUAAACAGGCUUCUUACCUCUCCCCCAAAUUU